rnacentral:rRNA from 1 species
UGGGGAAUAUUGCGCAAUGGGCGAAAGCCUGACGCAGCGACGCCGCGUGGGGGAUGAAGCUUCUCGGAGUGUAAACCCCUUUCGACCCGGACGAAUGUCUCGCAAGAGAUUGACGGUACGGGUAUAAGAAGCCCCGGCUAACUACGUGCCAGCAGCCGCGGUAAUACGUAGGGGGCCAGCGUUGCUCGGAAUUACUGGGCGUAAAGGGUUCGUAGGCGGUGCGGCAAGUCGGGAGUGAAAUCUCUGGGCUCAACUCAGAGGCUGCUUCCGAAACUGCCGUGCUUGAGUGCGGGAGAGGCGAGUGGAAUUACAGGUGUAGCGGUGAAAUGCGUAGAUAUCUGUAGGAACACCCGUGGCGAAGGCGGCUCGCUGGACCGCAACUGACGCUGAGGAACGAAAGCUAGGGGAGCAAACAGG